rnacentral:rRNA from 1 species
GUGGGGAAUCUUGCGCAAUGGGCGAAAGCCUGACGCAGCCAUGCCGCGUGAAUGAUGAAGGUCUUAGGAUUGUAAAAUUCUUUCACCGGGGACGAUAAUGACGGUACCCGGAGAAGAAGCCCCGGCUAACUUCGUGCCAGCAGCCGCGGUAAUACGAAGGGGGCUAGCGUUGCUCGGAAUUACUGGGCGUAAAGGGCGCGUAGGCGGACAGUUUAGUCAGAGGUGAAAGCCCAGGGCUCAACCUUGGAAUUGCCUUUGAUACUGGCUGUCUUGAGUACGGGAGAGGUGGGUGGAACUCCGAGUGUAGAGGUGAAAUUCGUAGAUAUUCGGAAGAACACCAGUGGCGAAGGCGACUCACUGGCCCGUUACUGACGCUGAGGCGCGAAAGCAUGGGGAUCAAACAGGAUUAGAUACCCGAGUAGUCC